AUUGAACGCUGGCGGCAGGCUUAACACAUGCAAGUCGAACGAGUGGCGGACGGGUGAGUAAUGUCUGGGAAACUGCCCGAUGGAGGGGGAUAACUACUGGAAACGGUAGCUAAUACCGCAUCCCAUCGGAUGUGCCCAGAUGGGAUUAGCUAGUAGGUGGGGUAACGGCUCACCUAGGCGACGAUCCCUAGCUGGUCUGAGAGGAUGACCAGCAAACUGGGAAGUGGGACACGGUCCAGACUCCAACGGGAGGAAGCAGUGGGGAAUAUUGCACAAUGGGCGCAAGCCUGAUGCAGCCAUGCCGCGUGUAUGAAGAAGGCCUUCGGGUUGUAAAGUACUUUCAGCGAGGAGGCGUUACUCGCAGAAGAAGCACCGGCUAACUCCGUGCCAGCAGCCGCGGUAAUAC
rnacentral:rRNA from 1 species